UACAGAGGUCUCAAGCGUUGUUCGGAUUCAUUGGGCGUAAAGGGUGCGCAGGCGGCGGGGCAAGUCGGACGUGAAAUCCCGGGGCUUAACCCCGGAACUGCGUUCGAUACUGCCCUGCUCGAGGACUGGAGAGGAGACUGGAAUUCCUGGUGUAGCAGUGAAAUGCGUAGAUAUCAGGAGGAACGCCAAUGGCGAAGGCAAGUCUCUGGACAGUUCCUGACGCUCAUGCACGAAGGCCAGGGGAGCAAACGGG
rnacentral:rRNA from 1 species